GAUGAACGCUGGCGGCGUGCCUAAUACAUGCAAGUCGAGCGAACAGACGAGGAGCUUGCUCCUCUGAUGUUAGCGGCGGACGGGUGGGUAACACGUGGAUAACCUACCUAUAAGACUGGGAUAACUUCGGGAAACCGGAGCUAAUACCGGAUAACAUGUUGAACCGCAUGGUUCAACAGUGAAAGACGGUCUUGCUGUCACUUAUAGAUGGAUCCGCGCCGCAUUAGCUAGUUGGUAAGGUAACGGCUUACCAAGGCAACGAUGCGUAGCCGACCUGAGAGGGUGAUCGGCCACACUGGAACUGAGACACGGUCCAGACUCCUACGGGAGGCAGCAGUAGGGAAUCUUCCGCAAUGGGCGAAAGCCUGACGGAGCAACGCCGCGUGAGUGAAGAAGGUCUUCGGAUCGUAAAACUCUGUUAUUAGGGAAGAACAAAUGUGUAAGUAACUAUGCACGUCUUGACGGUACCUAAUCAGAAAGCCACGGCUAACUACGUG
rnacentral:rRNA from 1 species